rfam:Ovis aries breed Texel chromosome 3, whole genome shotgun sequence.
CAAAUGGAUUCUUUUGAAUCCAGACACAUUUAUUUACAAUGAGAA